CUGGGAUUCUCUUCCUGUUGGCUUUAUUCCCUCCCGCUGAGGACCAACUUCUUCCACCGGCUGGAGGAUAUUACAUCUCUCAGUUACUGUCACGGGAGAGUGAGUGCCCCUUUUCCAGUAGUUUCUAUUAAGAAAAGGAAAUCCCAAAGAGGGCCCUGAUCAGACUGGUAUUUGGACCUAAGAGCCACGAGUAGGGAUGGGAGCUGUAAAGCAGAGCCACCUGGCACAGGCUUGUUCCUGCUGGUUCCAGAUAAUGACUUAAAUCACUGUUGGCUGUCAGUAAGUCCGGGUUGGUGGAUUGACAUUGAUGUAGUCCAGCUCUGCUUCCAGAACCAGGGGGAUCUGUUUGUAAACCAGGAUACCUCUUCCCCAAGACAAUGCCUAGAAAUAAUGCCUCUGUUGUUUUUCUGACCUCUUGCUUCCUGGAGUUUCUCUGAAGGGCAUUUCUCUUAAUGGACUUGUUCUUUUUGCUACAGCUAAUAUCUAGAGGAAUAUCCAUGUUGAUUUCCCAUAUUUUUAUUCUCAAAAGACCACCUUAUUUCAAAUUUGGGGAGCACAUAAUGUACUCUCUAUCACUUAAAAAUUGAUUGUUGCCCUGUUUUUUGGAUUUUUUUUUUAAGGGGGUGAGGGAAGGAGAAGGCAAUCACAAAGAGUUGGUGUGCAUUGACAACGUACUCAGAAGAUUAUGUUCCACCAUAUGAUUAUCAGCCACAUGCUUAUCCCUGUCAAGAUGAUUAUUCCAUAGUCCACAGAAAAUGCCGUUCUCAGUUCACGGAUCUAAAUGGUUCUAAAAGAUUUGGCAUCAACACUUGGCAUGAUGAGAGUGGGAUUUAUGCUAAUUCAGAUGUAAAACAGAAACUCUAUCCCUUGACUAGUGGGCCUAUUGUGCCAAUUUAAAAAUAAUGUAUAGAAUCAGCAUCUCUGACUAAUGAAAAAUGGAUGUAGCAGUUGAUGAUUUUCUAUCUUAAUAAAUGCAAUGGAAGUGUUACUAUAGUAGAUUCCUUUAAGCAGAAAGUCUUAUUUUCUGGACCAGUGUUUAUAUCCUUAUUUUCAUAAGCUACUCUGGUAUUUUCCGAAGUUUAUUGUGUGUCUUGCUGAGAGCAUGCUACACAAUUCUAGAUGGUAUUUAGUGAAACAUUAUUUUAUGGAUUAUGUAUUUGUUUUAAUAAUUAUUAGAAAAACACAUAAAACUAGCACAGUCAAGGUUAUGAUUGCUUAGGGUGUGGCUAAUUAUAAAAAAGUAGGCCAACUUAAAUUCCAC
rnacentral:lncRNA from 1 species